UAUGCUGUAACUCACCGGAUAACCCAUGUAUCCUACCGUUACCAAGACUAGCAAACAUUAACAAAAUCUGGACAUGUCCUGACCAUGGCAUUGAACACAAUAUACACACAAUCACAUCGUGGUUUGCAAGAAAGGAUGAAGAAGAAUGUGAACCAGGGUGCCCAGUUACAAAUGACGACUUUUUGAAAGUGACGCCAUCAGAUCUACACCUACGUCGUUUGUCA